UACGAAGGGGGCUAGCGUUGCUCGGAAUCACUGGGCGUAAAGGGUGCGUAGGCGGGUCUUUAAGUCGGGGGUGAAAUCCUGGAGCUCAACUCCAGAACUGCCUUCGAUACUGGAAGACUUGAGUCCGGGAGAGGUGAGUGGAACUGCGAGUGUAGAGGUGAAAUUCGUAGAUAUUCGCAAGAACACCAGUGGCGAAGGCGGCUCACUGGACCGGUAUUGACGCUGAGGUGCGAAAGCGUGGGGAGCAAACAGG
rnacentral:rRNA from 1 species